ACAAAGUGUCUGAUGAAACUGAUGAUGAACUCUUUGAGAUAACAGAUUUUACUAAUGCCUCCCCGUGGGAAAGUUUUGUCUCCACCAUUGAAGACAUAUUGCAACAGUGGGGCCUCACUGCAUCCACUUAUUCAGCAGAUUCUGGUUAUUGGCCACAGCACAGGAAGUCAGAGAAGCUCUCUUAUGUUGGACAUGAUUUCAUUGUUAGCCUCCACGUGUCUGGUGAGAAGAAACGACUGAUACCGAAACAAUGAGAUCAGGAUUGGCCUGAUGCUAUGGUACAUACCGUAUAGCCAAAAAAUUUCGUGAGGAAUAAAUUUUCGUAUUUUCGUGAUCACUGUUUGCAUCACGAAAAAUUAAACCCCC